AAGGGUCCGCGGCCUGGGACAACGGGAGUCAGUGAGGACUACUGCGCUCUUUCUCUAUGUUUGAAAUGAGCUAUGGGAAGGGAAUCUACACGGAAAAAAAGACGGACAAAAUGGGCCGAAGGAAUGACAUUGGGAAGAGGAGGUAUGGACAUGCUGGAAUAGAGAGAGAAGUGAACCAGGGAAGAAAGAGACGGGCUCAGUGUCUUGAUCCAGAGACAUGUCCACCCUGUUGGCCAGCAUCUCCUGUAGAGCUCGCACGGAGAGGGACUGCUCCAGGACGAAGGUACAGAUCGCCAGGUCGGGGGGAACUUUCUGGACAAGAGGGACAAUAAGAAACCACGAACGGUCAACCACAUGGACAACGGACAAGAAUGGAUCCCAUCCUGACCAUGGAAUUAGGUGGAUGAGAUAAGAACAAAUACUGGGAAGUUUCUCCUGCAGAGUGCCCGAGGAGAGGCUUCAGCGGGACACAGAUCACGGACCAAUCCCUCCACUCAAUCACCGGCCCACACAGGAGUCCACCACAACACCAGCCUAGCAUAUGAACUCUACACUUUACCACUUUACACUCUACACUACACACUUCAUGUCCUUAACCCCCCCCCGUACACACACACACACACACACACACACACACACACACACACACACUUAGUACCUGUCCAGUUGCACACCAGAACAGUCUUUUUAAAUUAUCAAAAUGACAUUAACAUAAAUAAAGUUGCAAUAUGAUACACUA